UACGUAGGGUCCGAGCGUUGUCCGGAAUUAUUGGGCGUAAAGGGCUCGUAGGCGGUCUGUCGCGUCGGGAGUGAAAACUCAGGGCUCAACCCUGAGCGUGCUUCCGAUACGGGCAGACUAGAGGUAUGCAGGGGAGAACGGAAUUCCUGGUGUAGCGGUGAAAUGCGCAGAUAUCAGGAGGAACACCGGUGGCGAAGGCGGGUCUCUGGGCCGUAACUGACGCUGAGGAGCGAAAGCAUGGGGAGCGAACAGG
rnacentral:rRNA from 1 species